UGGGGGAUAUUGCACAAUGGGGGGAACCCUGAUGCAGCGACGCCGCGUGGGUGAAGGAGUAUUUCGGUAUGUAAAGCCCUAUCGGCAGGGAAGAAUAAGGUGUCCCUUGGACACCUGGACGGUACCUGACUAAGAAGCCCCGGCUAACUACGUGCCAGCAGCCGCGGUAAUACGUAGGGGGCAAGCGUUAUCCGGAUUCACUGGGUGUAAAGGGAGCGUAGACGGCCAUGCAAGCCUGGAGUGAAAGCCCGGGGCCCAACCCCGGGACUGCUCUGGGAACUGUGCGGCUGGAGUGCGGGAGGGGCAGGCGGAAUUCCUGGUGUAGCGGUGAAAUGCGUAGAUAUCAGGAGGAACACCGGCGGCGAAGGCGGCCUGCUGGACCGCGACUGACGUUGAGGCUCGAAAGCGUGGGGAGCGAACAGG
rnacentral:rRNA from 1 species